ensembl:snoRNA small nucleolar RNA U13
AUCCUUUUGUAGUUUAUAAAUGUGAAUAUUGGGUGUUCAAACUAUUGUGUAAGAUGUGCCUCCCUCAAAUCUUGUUAUGGCAUCAUUACCUAUAUGACA